rnacentral:tRNA from 1 species
GGUCAGGUGGCCGAAUUAGGUGGUAAACUGUAAAUUUACCCAUGGGGUUCACCACCCCCCUUACCA